rnacentral:rRNA from 1 species
UAUGGCGACCGGCGCACGGGUGAGUAACACGUAUCCAACCUGCCGAUGACUCGGGGAUAGCCUUUCGAAAGAAAGAUUAAUACCCGAUGGCAUAGUUCUUCCGCAUGGUAGAACUAUUAAAGAAUUUCGGUCAUCGAUGGGGAUGCGUUCCAUUAGCUUGUUGGCGGGGUAACGGCCCACCAAGGCAUCGAUGGAUAGGGGUUCUGAGAGGAAGGUCCCCCACACUGGUACUGAGACACGGACCAGACUCCUACGGGAGGCAGCAG